GAUGAACGCUGGCGGCGUGCCUAAUACAUGCAAGUCGAACGAAGGUCUAGCUUGCUAGACCUUAGUGGCGAACGGGUGAGUAAUACAUAAAUAAUCUGCCCAUAUGACUGGGAUAACUAUUGGAAACGAUAGCUAAUACCGGAUAGGUUAAUUGGAGGCAUCUCUGAUUAAUUAAAGUAGGAUUUCUACACAAAUGGAUGAGUUUAUGGCGCAUUAGUUAGUUGGUGGGGUAACGGCCUACCAAGACGAUGAUGCGUAGCCGACCUGAGAGGGUGACCGGCCACACUGGGACUGAGACACGGCCCAGACUCCUACGGGAGGCAGCAGUAGGGAACCUUCCGCAAUGGACGAAAG
rnacentral:rRNA from 1 species